rnacentral:rRNA from 1 species
GAACGCUGGCGGCGUGCCUACUACCUGCAAGUCGAGCGAACAGACGAGGAGCUUGCUCCUCUGACGUUAGCGGCGGACGGGUGAGUAACACGUGGAUAACCUACCUAUAAGACUGGGAUAACUUCGGGAAACCGGAGCUAAUACCGGAUAAUAUAUUGAACCGCAUGGUUCAAUAGUGAAAGACGGUUUUGCUGUCACUUAUAGAUGGAUCCGCGCCGCAUUAGCUAGUUGGUAAGGUAACGGCUUACCAAGGCAACGAUGCGUAGCCGACCUGAGAGGGUGAUCGGCCACACUGGAACUGAGACACGGUCCAGACUCCUACGGGAGGCAGCAGUAGGGAAUCUUCCGCAAUGGGCGAAAGCCUGGCGGAGCAACGCCGCGUGAGUGAUGAAGGUCUUCGGAUCGUAAAACUCUGUUAUUAGGGAAGAACAAAUGUGUAAGUAACUAUGCACGUCUUGACGGUACCUAAUCAGAAAGCCACGGCUAACUACGUG